UGGCGCCCCAACAUGGGGCCAGAGAAUAGGGGAUCCAGUGAGGGACGCUGUUCAAGAAGCAGGCACAAAAACAGGAUGGAGAAAAUUCCGAGAUAGAGGAAAAGAUUACACGGGAGCCUGCUGCAUUUUCUACAUCUCGGUGAGUAAAAAACAAUUAUGGGACAAGAAAUGAGCCAACAUGGGAUUUUUAUUGAAAGUUUAGGAAAGGCUCUAAAGGCAUGAGGAGUAAAGGUUAAAAUUAAGCAAUUAUGUCAAUAUUUUGAUUAUAUAAAGGCAGUUUGUCCUU
rfam:Cavia porcellus supercont2_6 genomic scaffold, whole genome shotgun sequence.